AGUGAACGCUGGCGGUAGGCCUAACACAUGCAAGUCGAACGGCAGCACAGUAAGAGCUUGCUCUUACGGGUGGCGAGUGGCGGACGGGUGAGGAAUACAUCGGAAUCUACUUUUUCGUGGGGGAUAACGUAGGGAAACUUACGCUAAUACCGCAUACGACCUACGGGUGAAAGCAGGGGAUCUUCGGACCUUGCGCGAUUGAAUGAGCCGAUGUCGGAUUAGCUAGUUGGCGGUGUAAAGGCCCACCAAGGCGACGAUCCGUAGCUGGUCUGAGAGGAUGAUCAGCCACACUGGAACUGAGACACGGUCCAGACUCCUACGGGAGGCAGCAGUGGGGAAUAUUGGACAAUGGGCGAAAGCCUGAUCCAGCCAUACCGCGUGGGUGAAGAAGGCCUUCGGGUUGUAAAGCCCUUUUGUUGGGAAAGAAAAGCAGCAGGUUAAUACCCCGCUGUUCUGACGGUACCCAAAGAAUAAGCACCGGCGAACUUCGU
rnacentral:rRNA from 1 species